rnacentral:lncRNA from 1 species
AGACUCUAUAACACUCUGUGAUGUGAGCGACGAUUCUGCGGUCUGCAUUUGUGAUCUGCGACAACAAAAUAGGCUGCAGAUUUGCAUUGAUGCAAUAUCAUGCUCUUUUGUUCUCUUUUUGCUUCCAUUUUCUUAUCCUUGGUCUUCCAUUCCUCUUGUGCUAUAAGAAAAACAAAUAUGCAUGAGUAUUAGUUAUAAUUGUAUUAAAACAAGCUAGAAUCUAAGCAAUUAGUAUUGAAAUGUGCCGAAAUUCUUCGGCACAUCAGUAUGCAGACUGCCUGAACAUAGAAGUAGUUGUAAACCAUUUCAUAGAAAAAGGCAAAAUUACUUAAGGAAAAGAGCAAACUGCAGAUCUUUUUCACGAGAGGAGUUAAGAAAAACCCAAAUUUAAUAAAAUUUAUUUUUUAGGCAGAACUUUAAGAGAAAAAUUGUUUUACAAAAGGUAUGAAUUUAAAGAACCUAAAAAUACACUAGUUCAAAAGGGUUUUAUUAAAAGAUUGAGUCUUUCGAAAAUAUUACUGAAUUAAGACGUUAAAGACCAUUUGACAGAUUGAUAUUGCUUUAAAUAAAUUAGUCGAGUUUUGAUACAAAAUCAUAUGGGCAUGAUAUCUACAUUUGAUUUUUAGUCUUGUUAUAGACAGAUCUAGCACUAGAGUUUGCCUAAUGAGGAUACAGUCCCUAAAGACAUGAUUUUUAUAUGCAUUGAUUUACACAAACGUUAAAGUCGUAUAGGAAAAAUUUGUAAUUGUUCAAAUAUGAUUAAACAUUAAACCCUAUAGGAAUGGUAUUUAGGUGGCUUGUAGCAUAAUUAAACAAUAAAACUCUAUAGACAUGGCAUCCAGGUGGCUUGUAGUAUAAUUAAUCCAUAAAAACCUAUAGACAUGAUAUCUACCCUUUAUUGAUGAAAGAAAGUAAAACCCUCCCAUACUUCCCAAAAAUUCUUUUAUAUAAACUACUACAGAACCAGAAAAGAAGAAAGAAAAAUAUAAAACAAAUCAAAACUACUGCUAGAUCUGGGAAGCCUAAUUCAAUCUCAAUGUCCAAUAACAUGCCAACUUCCUAAAUCCAGAUUUCCAAAGCCUUCUACUUAUCCCAAGUGUUUCAAUUUUUCAAGAAAUCUCAAGGAUUCCCAACAUUGCUUACACUCAGGAUACCAUCAGAAUUAGAAUAAUACAGUGUGGAAAAGCCAACCCUCAUGCAUCAAAGUUCAAAGAGAGCUCAGAAGUCCCAAAUCAUGACUUGCAAGAGAGGGGCAUAACUAAUAGCUAAGAGUACGUGCAAAGUGAUUGUCGAACCAUAACAAAUAGUUGUCAUACCUAGCCAUAGGUGCAGACUGGCACACCCCUUGCCAUUUGUUUGGUCAAACAAGUUAGGAGCAGACCCUUGAUAGCCAGACAUGAGUCUGAAUGAAGAGUAG